UUUCUACGGAGAGUUUGAUUCUGGCUCAGAACGAACGCUGGCGGCGUGGAUAAGACAUGCAAGUCGAACGGGAUUAGUUUUGUAGCAAUACGAAGCUGGUCUAGUGGCGCACGGGUGCGUAACACGUGAGUAAUCUGCCGAGAAGUGGGGGAUAGCUCGCCGAAAGGCGAAUUAAUACCGCAUGUGACUACCUCUUGAUUAAGGGGGAUGUUAAAGUAGCAAUACGCUUUUUGAUGAACUCGCGGCCUAUCAGCUAGAUGGCGGGGUAACGGCCCACCAUGGCUAUGACGGGUAGCUGGUCUGAGAGGACGACCAGCCACACUGGAACUGAGACACGGUCCAGACACCUACGGGUGGCAGCAGUCGAGAAUUUUUCACAAUGGGGGAAACCCUGAUGGAGCGACGCCGCGUGGAGGAUGAAGGCCUUCGGGUCGUAAACUCCUGUCAUGCGGGAACAAGAAAGUGAUAGUACCGCAAGAGGAAGAGACGGCUAACUCUGUGCCAGCAGCCGCGGUAAUACAGAGGUCUCAAGCGUUGUUCGGAUUCAUUGGGCGUAAAGGGUGCGUAGGUGGCGAUGCAAGUCUGGUGUGAAAUCUCAGGGCUUAACCUUGAAAAUGCACCGGAUACUGCGUUGCUCGAGGAUUGUAGAGGAGAGUGGAAUUCACGGUGUAGCAGUGAAAUGCGUAGAUAUCGUGAGGAAGACCAGUUGCGAAGGCGACUCUCUGGGCAACUCCUGACACUGAGGCACGAAGGCUAGGGGAGCAAACGGGAUUAGAUACCCCGGUAGUCCUAGCAGUAAACGGUGCACGUUUGGUGUGGGCGGGUUCAGACCCCGUCCGUGCCGGAGCUAACGCGUUAAACGUGCCGCCUGGGAAGUACGGUCGCAAGAUUAAAACUCAAAGAAAUUGACGGGGGCCCGCACAAGCGGUGGAGUAUGUGGCUUAAUUCGAUGCAACGCGAAGAACCUUACCUGGCCUUGACAUGCAUUGUGUCUCCGGUGAAAGCCGGAUAGUUGGUAGCAAUAUCAACGCUUUGCACAGGUGCUGCAUGGCUGUCGUCAGCUCGUGUCGUGAGAUGUUGGGUUAAGUCCCGCAACGAGCGCAACCCCUGUGUCCUGUUGCCCGAAAGGGAUCUCUGGACAGACUGCCCUGUGAAACGGGGAGGAAGGUGGGGAUGACGUCAAGUCAGUAUGGCCCUUACGGCCAGGGCUGCACACGUACUACAAUGCCCAGUACAGAAUGAACCGAAUCCGCGAGGUGGAGGAAAUCUCAAAAACUGGGCCCAGUUCGGAUUGGAGGCUGCAACUCGCCUCCAUGAAGCCGGAAUCGCUAGUAAUGGCGCAUCAGCUACGGCGCCGUGAAUACGUUCCCGGGCCUUGUACACACCGCCCGUCACAUCAUGGGAGUCGUUUGUAGCCGAAGUACGCACGCUAACCGCAAGGAGGCAGCGUCCUACGCUAUGAGCGGUAACUGGGAUGAAGUCGUAACAAGGUAGCCGUAGGGGAACCUGCGGCUGGAUCACCUCCUUUCU
rnacentral:rRNA from 1 species